rnacentral:rRNA from 1 species
AGAAACCAACAGGGAUUGCCUUAGUAACGGCGAGUGAAGCGGCAACAGCUCAAAUUUGAAAUCUGGCCUCUUUGGGGUCCGAGUUGUAAUUUGGAGAGGAUGUUUCGGGUACGGUCCGGGCUUAAAUUUCUUGGAACAGAAUGUCACAGAGGGUGAGAAUCCCGUCUGGAGUCUGCGACACGGCCUAUGUGAAACUCCUUCGACGAGUCGAGUUGUUUGGGAAUGCAGCUCUAAAUGGGUGGUAAAUUUCAUCUAAAGCUAAAUAUUGGCCAGAGACCGAUAGCGCACAAGUAGAGUGAUCGAAAGAUGAAAAGCACUUUGAAAAGAGAGUUAAACAGUACGUGAAAUUGUUGAAAGGGAAGCGCUGGCAACCAGACUUGCGCGUCGGGGUUCCCCCUGGCUUCUGCCUGGGCUACUCCCCGGCGCUCAGGCCAACAUCGGUUUUGGGGGUCGGUUAAAGGCCCCGGGAAUGUACCUACCCUUCGGGGUAGACUUAUAGCCCGGGGUGUCAUGCGGCCACCCGGGACCGAGGAACGCGCUUCGGCUCGGAUGUUGGCGUAAUGGUUGUCAGCGACC